UUUUAGCCCUGAUGGGAGCGGCAUCCUUUUUCUUGUUUCUUUAACAAGAAAAAGAUAGAGUCGGACAGCAGGAUUAGCU
rnacentral:sRNA from 1 species